rnacentral:rRNA from 1 species
UACAGAGACUGCAAGCGUUAUUCGGAUUCACUGGGCGUAAAGCGUGCGCAGGCGGUGAUGUAAGACAGAUGUGAAAUCCCCGGGCUCAACCUGGGACCUGCAUUUGUGACUGCAUCGCUGGAGUACGGUAGAGGGGGAUGGAAUUCCGCGUGUAGCAGUGAAAUGCGUAGAUAUGCGGAGGAACACCGAUGGCGAAGGCAAUCCCCUGGACCUGUACUGACGCUCAUGCACGAAAGCGUGGGGAGCAAACAGG